GGAGACCGGGCGCCGAAUCUUCGAAGCACCGAGUGCGAAGGGGAGCCGGGGACCCAACUGCAGGAUCAGGAUCGGUUCGGUCUCAGAUCGUCAAGGGGUGAAUCCGCCAGGUAGGGCUACUCCGGCCCGAACCCGUCAGCUAACCCGGUAGGCGCUCAGCACUGCCCCG
rnacentral:sRNA from 1 species